AGUCGUAACAAGGUCUCCGUAGGUGAACCUGCGGAGGGAUCAUUACACAAAUAUGAAGGCGGGCUGGAACCUCUCGGGGUUACAGCCUUGCUGAAUUAUUCACCCUUGUCUUUUGCGUACUUCUUGUUUCCUUGGUGGGUUCGCCCACCACUAGGACAAACAUAAACCUUUUGUAAUUGCAAUCAGCGUCAGUAACAAAUUAAUAAUUACAACUUUCAACAACGGAUCUCUUGGUUCUGGCAUCGAUGAAGAACGCAGCGAAAUGCGAUAAGUAGUGUGAAUUGCAGAAUUCAGUGAAUCAUCGAAUCUUUGAACGCACAUUGCGCCCUUUGGUAUUCCAAAGGGCAUGCCUGUUCGAGCGUCAUUUGUACCCUCAAGCUUUGCUUGGUGUUGGGCGUCUUGUCUCUAGCUUUGCUGGAGACUCGCCUUAAAGUAAUUGGCAGCCGGCCUACUGGUUUCGGAGCGCAGCACAAGUCGCACUCUCUAUCAGCAAAGGUCUAGCAUCCAUUAAGCCUUUUUUUCAACUUUUGACCUCGGAUCAGGUAGGGAUACCCGCUGAACUUAAGCAUAUCAAUAAGCGGAGGA
rnacentral:rRNA from 1 species